UUCGGCAGGAAAGGGCGCCGCAGGUCGCCACCACGACGACCCACGCCCACGACCGGGUUCAGGUCAAGCCAUUGCUCUCCAAGCACCAACCAAGCAAGAUAUCCCCAAAUCUACAAAGCUCCCUCCGCUCCGGCCAUGGAUCCAGCAGCUCCACCCCUCCACCGCCCUCCCGCCUGCCAUUCCUCUGCUUUCCCUAGCCCCCACUCUCUGCCACCCAGGCGACCAGCCCGCGGCCUGAGCUUCUUGAGGUUCCCAACCGGCGGCGGCGGCGGCGGCGGAAAGCGACGGUAGCGGCCGCUCGACGGCCGGGAAGCAGAUCGCGUGAAGCAAAUGGCGGAGGCUAUACUGCUCGCCGUGUCAAAGAUUGGGGCAAUCGUUUUGAAUGAAGCUGUCUUGGCUGUCAUCAACAAGCUGUCGAGGAAGGUUGACAACCUAAAGGAAUUGCCGGCAAAGAUAAAAAGAAUCGAUAUAGAGCUGAAGACGAUGAAUGAUGUAAUUCAAGACUUGGGCACAACACAUCUCAGCAACAAUGUCGUCAAGGGUUGGAUUGGAAAUGUGAGGAGGCUGGCCUACCAUGUUGAGGAUGUGAUUGAUAAGUACUCAUAUGAGGCUCUCAAGCUCAAGGACGAAGGCUUCCUGAAUCGGUACGCCUUCAGAAGUUCACGCCAUAUUAAGGUCUUCAGUAAAAUUGCUGAGGAAGUUAUAGAGAUAGAGGGGGAGAUCAGGCACAUCAAAGAACUGCAUAUUUAUUGGAGUACCAUAGUACAGCCCAUUAGAAAUGAGCAUGCAGAGAUUGAUAGGCAGCGAUGGGGAGGCUGCUUUCCAGAAAGUGUUAGUGAUGAGGACCUUGUUGGGAUUGAUGAAAACAGGAGCAAGUUGACCGAAUGGCUGACCACCAGUGAGAAAGAAACCACAGUAGUUACGGUUUCUGGGAUGGGAGGCUUGGGGAAAACAACCCUUGUGAAAAAUGUGUAUGAUCGGGAGAAAGCCAACUUCCCUGAUGCUCAUGCUUGGAUUGUGGUGUCACGGGUGUAUGCUGUAGUUGAUUUGCUGAAGGCAUUGCUCACCAAGAUACAAUACACACAAGAGUCGCCGCCGCCGUCACCUCUUAGUCCGGGCGCCAAAGCUGAUGUUUAUGAGUUAACAGAGGCUAUAAAGAAGAUACUACAAAAUAAGAAGUGCUUGAUCGUGCUUGAUGAUGUGUGGGAUAAAGAAGCAUAUACUCAGAUGUGCAGUGCGUUCCAGGGUCUCCAAGGAAGCCGUGUUAUGAUCACAACACGGAAGGAAGAUGUUGCGGCUCUUGCUCCAGUGAGGCGCCGCCUACUAUUGCAACCAUUGGGUAGCGUUGAAUCUUUCAAGCUGUUCUGCUCCAGGGCUUUCCACAACAGCCUGGGCCGCAAGUGCCCUCCAGAGCUUGAGGCGGUGGCUGCUGCUAUAGUUGACCGGUGUCGUGGCCUGCCAUUGGCCAUUGUAUCGUCUGGCAGCCUAUUGUCCACAAAGCAACCAACAGAGCAUGCCUGGAAUCAGGUGUACAACCAUCUCCGGAGCGAGCUGCGGGGGAAUAACCAUGUCCAAGCUAUACUUAAUCUGAGCUACCAUGACUUGCCUGGUGAUCUCAGGAACUGCUUCCUGUACUGCAGCUUGUUCCGUGAAGACUAUGAAAUGUCACGGGAGAACCUUGUGCGAUUGUGGGUUGCUGAAGGUUUUGCAAAGAAGAAAGAUAACAGCACGCCGGAGGAAGUGGCCGAGGGGAAUCUCAUGGAACUCAUAGGCCGGAAUAUGUUGGAAGUUGUGGAGAGGGAUGAGCUCUUUAGAGUUAGUACAUGUAAGAUGCAUGACAUUGUUCGAGACCUGGCUCUUGCUGUUGCUAAAGAGGAGAGGUUUGGCUCCGCGAGUGAUCAGGGUGAAAUGACGCUAAUGGAUAAAGAAGUUCGUCGGUUCUCAACAUGUGGUUGGAGAGAUAGCAUGGCAGCUGCUCCAGGAGUGGAUUUUCCACGACUCAGAACCGUCAUCUCGCUUUCAGCAGCUUUGUCCUCUACUAACAUGAUUUCCUCUGUUUUAUCUGGAUCCAACUACCUUACCGUUCUCGAGCUUCAAGACUCUGCAAUCUGCCAUGUGCCAGCAUCCAUCGGGAAUCUGUUCAAUCUCCGCUACAUUGGCUUGAGGCGCACCAGAGUUCAGUCAUUGCCAGACACUAUUGAAAAACUCUCAAACCUCGAGACGCUGGACGUCAAGCAAACAAAAAUAGAAAAACUACCGCCAGGAAUCGUGAAGGUUGAGAAGUUACGUCACCUUUUAGCUGACAGGUAUGCUGAUGAGAAGCAGACGAAGUUCCAGUACUUUGUCGGAGUUGAGGCGCCGAAUAUGAUUUCCAACUUCCAAGAACUGCAAACUCUUGAGACCGUCCAUGCGAGCAAGGACUUGUCGCUUCAGCUGAAGAAAAUGAAUAAGCUUCAGACUGUUUGGGUUGAUAACAUCGAUGCAUCUAACUGUGAUGACCUUUUCAAAACCCUCUCAGAUAUGCCUCUGCUUUCCAGCUUACUUCUCUGUGCAUGUGAUGAGAAGGAGACACUUACGUUCCAAGCACUCAAGCCAAUUUCCAAGAGGCUCCACAGACUAAUCAUUAGGGGUGGCUGGGCCGAUGGGACGCUCAAGUGUCCAAUAUUUCAGGGUCAUGGGAAGAAUAUCAAGUAUCUGGCUCUGAGUUGGUGCAAUCUUGGGAAUGAAGACCCGCUGCAGCUGCUGGCAUCUCAUCUGUCAGCUCUCACUUAUCUCAGUCUUAACAGGGUGAGUAGUGCAGGUACAUUGGUGCUUUCUGCAGGGUGCUUCUGUCAGUUGAAGACGCUUGUCUUGAGGCGCAUGCCUAAUGUAAAGCAACUGGAGAUUGAGGAGGGCGCCAUUCCGUGCAUUGGUGGGAUCUACAUCAUGUCACUCUCGGAGGUCAGUAUGGUCCCUCGUGGCAUCGAGUCGCUUGGGUCCCUGAAGAAGCUCUGGAUGCUGGACCUGCACAAGGACUUCAAGGCUGACUGGGAUUUGAACCAGAUGCACGACAAGAUGACGCAUGUUCCAGAGCUCCGUGCCUAGCUAGCAAAGAGCGUCAGAGAUGGAGAACAUGAUGAAGCAUGUUCCAGAGCUCCGUGCAUAGCAAAGAGCGGCAACUACAUCCUUCGGCUUCAGGACUGAAGGAAGAGGAGAAGCUGCAACCACACCGCUGAAUCACAGAACCUUUGCAUCCGCUUAGUUCAAGUGCCGGCCUUCCUGCACCUUUGGUUAUUCAAAGAAAGGUGGAAGAUCUGAAGCCAAAUGUAGAACAGGGGAAGGUAAAAGCAGGCUCACAGAAAAUGGUUGCUCAAGCAUCUUGUGUCAUUCUGAAGAAAGAAACAAAUAGAGUUGUUGAACUGAACUGAACUAGUUACAAAUGUGCAUAUGAUUAUUAAUUGAUAGUGCAGUUUGGGAAAAAAGACAGAUAGUGCUUCUAA